rnacentral:rRNA from 1 species
UACGGGGGGAGCAAGCGUUGUUCGGAUUUACUGGGCGUAAAGCGCACGUAGGCGGAUUGCUAAGUCAGGGGUGAAAUCCUGGAGCUCAACUCCAGAACUGCCUUUGAUACUGGCGAUCUUGAGUCCGGGAGAGGUGAGUGGAACUGCGAGUGUAGAGGUGAAAUUCGUAGAUAUUCGCAAGAACACCAGUGGCGAAGGCGGCUCACUGGCCCGGUACUGACGCUGAGGUGCGAAAGCGUGGGGAGCGAACAGG